rnacentral:rRNA from 1 species
UGCGCAGGCGGGCUUGUAAGUCAGUGGUGAAAUACUGCCGCUUAACGGUAGAACUGCCAUUGAUACUGCGAGUCUUGAAUAUGGUUGAGGUAGGCGGAAUGUGUUGUCUAGCGGUGAAAUGCAUAGAUAUGACACAGAACGCCGAUUGCGAAGGCAGCUUACUAAGCCAUUAUUGACGCUGAGGCACGAAAGCGUGGGGAGCGAACAGGAUUAGAUACCCUGGUAGUCC